GUGCUUGCUACAGCCUCACAUAUACUAAAAUUGGAUCGAUACAGAGAAGAUAAGCAUGGCCCCUGAAUGAGAUUUGGAAGGCACAAUGGAGGAUGCUGCCCAUUGUUUU
ensembl:snRNA U6 U6 spliceosomal RNA